rnacentral:piRNA from 1 species
UGCGCAUGGAAAUGUUCUGCCCCUCAGUGA